ensembl:miRNA MIR374B microRNA 374b
ACUCGGAUGGAUAUAAUACAACCUGCUAAGUGUCCUCGCACUUAUCAGGUUGUAUUAUCAUUGUCCGUGUCU